AAACUUUCAACAAUGGAUCUCUUGGUUCCCGCAUCGAUGAAGAACGCAGCGAAAUGCGAUAACUAAUGUGAAUUGCAGAAUUCCGUGAAUCAUCGAGUCUUUGAACGCACAUUGCGCCCCCCGGUAUUCCGGGGGGCAUGCCUGUCCGAGCGUCAUU
rnacentral:rRNA from 1 species